AUUGAACGCUGGCGGCAUGCCUUACACAUGCAAGUCGAACGGUAACAGGUCUUCGGAUGCUGACGAGUGGCGAACGGGUGAGUAAUACAUCGGAACGUGCCCGAGAGUGGGGGAUAACGAAGCGAAAGCUUUGCUAAUACCGCAUACGAUUUCAGGAUGAAAGCAGGGGACCGCAAGGCCUUGCGCUCACGGAGCGGCCGAUGGCAGAUUAGGUAGUUGGUGGGAUAAAAGCUUACCAAGCCGACGAUCUGUAGCUGGUCUGAGAGGACGACCAGCCACACUGGGACUGAGACACGGCCCAGACUCCUACGGGAGGCAGCAGUGGGGAAUUUUGGACAAUGGGCGCAAGCCUGAUCCAGCCAUGCCGCGUGCAGGACGAAGGCCUUCGGGUUGUAAACUGCUUUUGUACGGAACGAAAAGACUCCUUCUAAUAAAGGGGGUCCAUGACGGUACCGUAAGAAUAAGCACCGGCUAACUACGUGCCAGCCGCCGCGGUAAGAC
rnacentral:rRNA from 1 species